rnacentral:tRNA from 1 species
AGCUCAGCUGAGAGAGCGCCUGCUUUGCACGCAGGAGGUCAGCGGUUCGAUCCCGCUAGUCU